GGGUGAUUCUUCUGAACGAAUUCAUGCGGCUGCAAUUGGAGCUGGAUGAUCUAAAUUGUCUCACUCCUAGGUCUGGCUGUUGAUGUUGGCUGUUGGCUGAGCCAGGGGCCGCCAGCAGGCUAGCGUGGGCUCUUCACUCAGCAGCAGGGUUCCAAGAGGACAAGCUCAACACACAUGUGCUUUUCAAGCCUGUGAUUAUCAGGGCUGUACUGCAACAAUCUGCUGCAAUCAGUAACAACCACAUAAGAAAGCAAUGACAAGUUAUGAUUACUGCUCUGAAGGGAGUAAGCAGGAUGCUGUGAGAGAGGGUUACUAUUCCAAGUGGCCCUUGGGCCAGCAGCAUUGGCAUCACCUGGGACUUGUGAGAAAUCCAGCAUCUCAGGCUCCAUUGCAGGUCUCCUAAAUCAGAAUUUACAGUUUAACAAGAUCACCAGGAGAUGUGUGUGUAAGCUCAAGAGCCUGUUGGGAGGAGCACCUAGCAUAAGACCUGGCUUAUGAUAGAGAGAGAGAGAGAGAGAGGAGAGAGAGUUCUUAUAAGAAAUUGGCUCACAUGAUUAUGGAGGCUGCCAAGUCCCGAGAUCUGCAGUCAGCAAGCUGGAGACCCAGGAGAGCUGAUGGUGCAGUUCUAGUCUGAAUGUCAGCAGGCUAGAAACCAAGGAAGAGCCAAUGUUUUAGUUCAAGUCUGAAAGCAGGAAAAGCACUAAUACCACAGCUGGAAGGCAGUUGACAGAAGGAGUUCCCUUCUCCUUCGGAGUGAGGGUCAACCUCUUCAUUCCAUUCAGACGCUCAACUGAUUAGAUGGGGCCCACCCACAUUUGAGGGCAAUCUGCUUUACUCAAAUGAUGAUCUUAUCCACAAACACGCUCAUAGACGUACCCAGAAAGAAUAGUGUUUGACCAAAUGUCUGGGCACCCCAUGCCCAGUCAAGUUGACCCGUAAAAUUAACCAUCACAGCAGCCAAGGCAGAAAUGGAAGUGAGACAGUGGUGGUGGAGGAGCCGCAGCCAGCACCUCAGGCCCUGCCCUGCGGGAGGUACUACAGAGAUAAUGCAGAGCUUACCAGGCCCUGUCCACCUGCCCACCCUCAGGGGCAGAGAUACAGUCCUCCAGCCAGGAGCAAGGCUGUGCCAAGAGAUUCCCUUCAGCUUAGGGCAGAGUGUAGAUGCCAUACUCCAGUGGUUCUCAACUGGGGCAGUUUUAUCUCCCAGGAGACAUCUGGUAAUAUCUGAAGACCUUUUUUGUUGUCACAGUGAGGGGGUGAUCAUACUCCUGACCACUCACAUCCAGUGGGUAGAGGCCAGGGGUGCUGCUAACACACAGGACAGCCCCCACAACAGAGAUUGAUCAGGCCCCAAAUGUCAUUGGUGCUGAAGUUGAGGAACCCUGCCCUCACCUUCUUUCCUCCACAUCUUCCCUCAAGCUGCUCCUGGCACGCCCUUCUCCACCAAGCCAACUUGUUAAACCUCUUCACAGCUGAGAUCAUGCUACUUUCUUCUUCAGAUCUGGGUGAUCUAGACAAGUGAUCUGACCUCUCUGAGCCAGGGUUUCUACCUUGUAAAAAAAAAAAAAUCCCUUCCUGCAUGGUCAGCUGUCAUGAAAAGAACACAUGGUAAUGGGCAGACAAAAGACAAGGCUUAGCUUCGUGUUUGACUCCUAGGAGCACCCAGUUCAUGGAGGCUGCUGCUGUUACUAAUCUGUUUCCAUUUUCCCCUGGGAAUCCUGAGGUUUAUCUGUGAGUCUUUGGACUGCUGUAUGGACAACAUACUCUGCAGUAGCAUGAAGAAGUGAGUGAAGACCCUCCCUUGAACUGUGUGCACUGAAAGAACAGAAGUCACAUUUGAUAUCUCAGUGCCUUUACAGUGCCAGGGAUGGGGUAGGUGCUGAGCGCCUGGUAUGUGCUCACCCUAUGCUGUACAAAACACAGAAAGCCCCACAGGAUUUGAACUAUAAUCAGGUAGAGAGUGUGUGGGACUCCCCUUGGGUCUCUGACUUUGGCUUCUGCUCCUGGCCUUGGAUAGGCAGAUAUUUUCUAGUAGACAUCAGAGACUCCAGUUGAUAGCACUACAGUGGCUUUUCUCCCAACUUUUUGUUUUACAUAUUAUCAAGCCAACAGAGAAAUUGCAAGAAUAGCACAAUGAACAUGCAUAUACCCUUCACCUGGAUUCACCGCUUUUGUUUCAUUUCUCUCAGUAUAUAUGUUUGUGUGUGUUGGAGACAUAUGACAAUUUACCUCGAAACCAGGCAUCUCCUAGGAACAAGAGCAGCCUCCCAUAUAACAACAAUACAAUGCUAACCCUUAAAAAACUUUGCAUUAAUAAAUCCCAUUAGUUAAUA